rnacentral:rRNA from 1 species
CAAUAGCGUAUAUUUAAGUUGUUGCAGUUAAAAAGCUCGUAGGUGGAUUUCGGUUAAGAGCGACCGGUCCGCCGUUUGGUGUGCACUGGUUGGUUUUAACUUCCUGUAGAGGACGUGCUCUGGGUUUAACGACCUGGACUCGGAGUCUACGUGGUUACUUUGAAAAAAUUAGAGUGUUCAAAGCGGGCUUACGCUUGAAUAUUUCAGCAUGGAAUAACACUAUAGGACUCCUGUCCUAUUUCGUUGGUCUCGGGACGGGAGUAAUGAUUAAGAGGAACAGUUGGGGGCAUUCGUAUUUCAUUGUCAGAGGUGAAAUUCUUGGAUUUAUGAAAGACGAACUUCUGCGAAAGCAUUUGCCAAGGAUGUUUUCAUUAA